CGGCGGUGAGGAGACACGUACUGUGUUGACUGGCGGUGAUCGCUCUAUACGCUAUUCUGAGCCGAUG